rnacentral:rRNA from 1 species
UGCAGAAUCCCGUGAACCAUCGAGUCUUUGAACGCAAGUUGCGCCCAAGGCCAUCAGGCUUAGGGCACGUCUGCCUGGGUGUCACGUGACGUGUCGCUCCCUUCUAGAUUUGGGGAGGAGCGGAUCAUGUCCUCCCGUGCCUAUUGUAUGGUGCGGUGGGACCAAAUGCUUGAUACUGUUGAUGGACGUUCUGGCGAUUGGUGGUUGUGCCUAGAGUGCAAACGUCGUUCCACGUUCAAUCGUUUGCGGAUAUCAGACCCUUUCGAGUCAAAGUGAUUUGGCUUACGAAGUGCGAUCCCAGGUCAGGCGGGACUACCCGCUGAGUUUAAGCAUAUCAAUAAGCGGAGG